UAGGGAAUCUUCCACAAUGGGCGAAAGCCUGAUGGAGCAACGCCGCGUGUGUGAUGAAGGGUUUCGGCUCGUAAACACUGUUGUAAGAGAAGAAUGACAUUGAGAGUAACUGUUCAAUGUGUGACGGUAUCUUACCAGAAAGGAACGGCUAAAUACGUGCCAAG
rnacentral:rRNA from 1 species